CAGCUCAGUCAGUAAAGCAUGAGGCUCUUACUCUCAAGGUCGUGGGUUCGAGCCCCACAUAA
rnacentral:tRNA from 1 species